rnacentral:rRNA from 1 species
UACGUAGGUGGCAAGCGUUGUUCGGAAUUACUGGGCGUAAAGGGCUCGUAGGCGGCCAACUAAGUCACACGUGAAAUCCCCAGGCUUAACCUGGGAACUGCGUGUGAUACUGGAUGGCUUGAAUUCGGGAGAGGGAUGCAGAAUUCCAGGUGUAGCGGUGAAAUGCGUAGAUAUCUGGAGGAAUACCGGUGGCGAAGGCGGCAUCCUGGACCGACAUUGACGCUGAGGAGCGAAAGCUAGGGGAGCAAACGGG